ACAAAUUGAGAGUCAUGGCUGUACCUCUAUGAAUAAUGCCUGGAAUGCCAAAGGUUUAAAUGAGUUUAGACUUGAGAAAAGCAAUUAAAGAAAAAGAUCUUCAAUGAAAAGUUUCAACACUUGAAAAGAUAGAACAAGCAAUUUUAAGAAGGAAGUGAAGUCCGUUUUAAAGAGAUGGAGUCUUGCUUUUGCUCAGGCUG